UGCGGUAACGCGACCUAUCCCGGAGAAGCUGGCGGGAGCCCCGGGGAGAGUUCUCUUUUCUCUGUGAAGGGCAGGGCGCCCUGGAAACCCCGAGAGAGGGACCCAAGCCCUGGAAAGCGUUGUGAUUUCGGCGGUGUCUGGUGAGCUCUCGCUAGCCCUUGAAAAUCCGGGGG
rnacentral:ncRNA from 1 species